GACGAACGCUGGCGGCGUGCUUAACACAUGCAAGUCGAACGGAAAGGCCCUGCUUUUGUGGGGUGCUCGAGUGGCGAACGGGUGAGUAACACGUGAGUAACCUGCCCUUGACUUUGGGAUAACUUCAGGAAACUGGGGCUAAUACCGGAUAGGAGCUCCUGCUGCAUGGUGGGGGUUGGAAAGUUUCGGCGGUUGGGGAUGGACUCGCGGCUUAUCAGCUUGUUGGUGGGGUAGUGGCUUACCAAGGCUUUGACGGGUAGCCGGCCUGAGAGGGUGACCGGCCACAUUGGGACUGAGAUACGGCCCAGACUCCUACGGGAGGCAGCAGUGGGGAAUAUUGCACAAUGGGCGGAAGCCUGAUGCAGCAACGCCGCGUGCGGGAUGACGGCCUUCGGGUUGUAAACCGCUUUCGCCUGUGACGAAGCGUGAGUGACGGUAAUGGGUAAAGAAGCACCGGCUAACUACGUGCCAGCAGCCGCGGUGAUACGUAGGGUGCGAGCGUUGUCCGGAUUUAUUGGGCGUAAAGGGCUCGUAGGUGGUUGAUCGCGUCGGAAGUGUAAUCUUGGGGCUUAACCCUGAGCGUGCUUUCGAUACGGGUUGACUUGAGGAAGGUAGGGGAGAAUGGAAUUCCUGGUGGAGCGGUGGAAUGCGCAGAUAUCAGGAGGAACACCAGUGGCGAAGGCGGUUCUCUGGGCCUUUCCUGACGCUGAGGAGCGAAAGCGUGGGGAGCGAACAGGCUUAGAUACCCUGGUAGUCCACGCUGUAAACGGUGGGUACUAGGUGUGGGGUCCAUUCCACGGGUUCCGUGCCGUAGCUAACGCUUUAAGUACCCCGCCUGGGGAGUACGGCCGCAAGGGCUAAAACUCAAAGGAAUUGACGGGGCCCCGCACAAGCGGCGGAGCAUGCGGAUUAAUUCGAUGCAACGCGUAGAACCUUACCUGGGUUUGACAUGGGUCGGGAGUGCUCAGAGAUGGGUGUGCCUCUUUUGGGGUCGGUUCACAGGUGGUGCAUGGCUGUCGUCAGCUCGUGUCGUGAGAUGUUGGGUUAAGUCCCGCAACGAGCGCAACCCUUGUUCACUGUUGCCAGCACGUUAUGGUGGGGACUCAGUGGAGACCGCCGGGGUCAACUCGGAGGAAGGUGGGGAUGACGUCAAGUCAUCAUGCCCCUUAUGUCCAGGGCUUCACGCAUGCUACAAUGGCUGGUACAGAGAGUGGCGAGCCUGUGAGGGUGAGCGAAUCUCGGAAAGCCGGUCUCAGUUCGGAUUGGGGUCUGCAACUCGACCUCAUGAAGUCGGAGUCGCUAGUAAUCGCAGAUCAGCAACGCUGCGGUGAAUACGUUCCCGGG
rnacentral:rRNA from 1 species